rnacentral:rRNA from 1 species
CAACCUGCCCUUCAGAGGGGGACAACAGUUGGAAACGACUGCUAAUACCGCAUACGAUCUGACCUCGGCAUCGAGGAUAGAUGAAAGGUGGCCUCUAUUUAUAAGCUAUCACUGAAGGAGGGGAUUGCGUCUGAUUAACUAGUUGGAGGGGUAACGGCCCACCAAGGCGGUGAUCAGUAGCCGGUCUGAGAGGAUGAACGGCCACAUUGGGACUGAGACACGGCCCAG